rnacentral:rRNA from 1 species
AUGAACGCUGGCGGCGCGCCUAACACAUGCAAGUCGAACGGCACCUGCCCUCGGGCAGAAGCGAGUGGCGAACGGCUGAGUAACACGUGGAGAACCUGCCCCCUCCCCCGGGAUAGCCGCCCGAAAGGACGGGUAAUACCGGAUACCCCGGGGUGCCGCAUGGCACCCCGGCUAAAGCCCCGACGGGAGGGGAUGGCUCCGCGGCCCAUCAGGUAGACGGCGGGGUGACGGCCCACCGUGCCGACAACGGGUAGCCGGGUUGAGAGACCGACCGGCCAGAUUGGGACUGAGACACGGCCCAGACUCCUACGGGAGGCAGCAGUGGGGAAUCUUGCGCAAUGGGGGGAACCCUGACGCAGCGACGCCGCGUGCGGGACGGAGGCCUUCGGGUCGUAAACCGCUUUCAGCAGGGAAGAGUCAAGACUGUACCUGCAGAAGAAGCCCCGGCUAACUACGUGCCAGCAGCCGCGGUAAUACGUAGGGGGCGAGCGUUAUCCGGAUUCAUUGGGCGUAAAGCGCGCGUAGGCGGCCCGGCAGGCCGGGGGUCGAAGCGGGGGGCUCAACCCCCCGAAGCCCCCGGAACCUCCGCGGCUUGGGUCCGGUAGGGGAGGGUGGAACACCCGGUGUAGCGGUGGAAUGCGCAGAUAUCGGGUGGAACACCGGUGGCGAAGGCGGCCCUCUGGGCCGAGACCGACGCUGAGGCGCGAAAGCUGGGGGAGCGAACAGGAUUAGAUACCCUGGUAGUCCCAGCCGUAAACGAUGGACGCUAGGUGUGGGGGGACGAUCCCCCCGUGCCGCAGCCAACGCAUUAAGCGUCCCGCCUGGGGAGUACGGCCGCAAGGCUAAAACUCAAAGGAAUUGACGGGGGCCCGCACAAGCGGUGGAGCAUGUGGUUUAAUUCGAAGCAACGCGAAGAACCUUACCAGGUCUUGACAUCCAACGAAUCCUUAAGAGAUUAGGGAGUGCCUUUCGGGGAACGUUGAGACAGGUGGUGCAUGGUUGUCGUCAGCUCGUGUCGUGAGAUGUUGGGUUAAGUCCCGCAACGAGCGCAACCCCCGCCGCGUGUUGCCAUCGGGUGAUGCCGGGAACCCACGCGGGACCGCCGCCGUCAAGGCGGAGGAGGGCGGGGACGACGUCAAGUCAUCAUGCCCCUUAUGCCCUGGGCUGCACACGUGCUACAAUGGCCGGUACAGAGGGAUGCCACCCCGCGAGGGGGAGCGGAUCCCGGAAAGCCGGCCCCAGUUCGGAUUGGGGGCUGCAACCCGCCCCCAUGAAGUCGGAGUUGCUAGUAAUCGCGGAUCAGCAUGCCGCGGUGAAUGCGUUCCCGGGCCUUGUACACACCGCCCGUCACACCAUGAGAGCCGGGGGGACCCGAAGUCGGUAGUCUAACCGCAAGGAGGACGCCGCCGAAGGUAAAACUGGUGAUUGGGGUG